UGUUACAAAGCAUUUGUGGUAUGUUGCCCGUACAUAUACAUACAUAUACACUCUUUGUAGACAAGGGAAGAGGUUGGAUACUGGUGGUAUUACUUGCGUUGUUUAUCCAAAAAUUUGAGUCCAUUUAAUGAGUUAUUUAAUGGCCACCUAUCCGGAUGUCCUUCCGUGAGAGUUUGAUGUAAGUAGAUCAUUACUAUAACUAGCUAAACUGUCUUGCAUUGCUGCUUAAUAUCCACUCUGCUGCCAGUGUAGUUGGAAUACUUGUAUCUGGAGAGCCCCCACACACAAAACCAUAGACAGCAGAAUAAUCCUUGUCUUAAACUGCUGCUAAUAUCAGUGCACCACAUGUCCAAAUCCCAAAGGAAUAAAAGGACUCACUCUAGCCACCCAAAUCACACUAAACCUUUCAAUGCAUUCUUGAAAUAUUUUACAUCGUUUUAAAACAGUUAAAAAUCAGUACCCCCCUCACGAACGCCUGUUUAUUAUUAUUAUUAUUAUUAUUAUUAUUAUUAUUGUUGUUGUUGUUGUGAUUAUUAUUAUUAUUAUUAUUAUUAUUAUUACUUUGCUCAAGAAAGUGUCAAUGCUACUUUGUGUUAUUUUUGAUCUGCGUUGUCAUGUUCUUCUGAUAUGCUCCUCUGAAGACUACCAAGAGGGCAGGAAAGAGGUUGGCACAGCCGGCUUCUCCAAAGGCCACUAGAAAUAAGAGCAAACCAACAGGUUUCAAGAUGGAAGUCAGAGCUGCUCUGAAUGCCCUCAGAGAUAAACUGUGGACGGAACAGAAACAGGAGAACUCUUCACUUCAUAAGAAACUGAAUAAGAAGAAGCCACUUGGCUGGAGUGAGUUACAGAAGCUCAGCCUCAAGGAGCUCACGGCAUUACGGACCUCACUCAGCAAAGACAUUCAAGACCUUAGCUCAGAGCUAGUUGGUCGCCUUCUGUCACGGGACCAGCUGAAGACGGAGCAGGAUGCGAUGCUUCUGGAAGUGCAAGACAUGACAGCACUCUGAUGCUGGCACCUUCAGACUGCUGCUAGAACAAAACAAUCUUACUGUGAAAAGCUUAAUCGGUCUUAAAGACUUGGAAUUGCACAGCGUUUUUUUUAAAACAUUUCUUCAUAAGGGAACUUUUUCAGAAUGUUGACUGCAUGAUGUAUCAGGGCACGUGCCCUAUAUUAAUCCUUCUCUAUAUUUUAUUGCUCUGGAAACUCUUUUUUUGAGAAAUGACAUGCUCGCAAACAUACCUCAUAUCACCUGGUUAUACUGGCCACCUUCCGUUCCUUUGGGACUAUAAUAAUUACACAAUCAUUAAAGACACAAGAAAUAACUUCAAACCUGCCAAACAUUUUGGUUCUUGUGAUCCUGCAUUUAAAAGGGAAGGGAUUAACAAUAUUGUUCUUUCUUUUGCUUGAGCAGUGGUGUCACACAUUGCCUGAUUGUUUUUUUAUUGUUAUUUUAUAUUUCAAAAACAUGCAACUGAGCUGAUAUUACUGUCGAAGAUGGUUUUACAUUCUUGUAUUAUCUCAACAAAUAUAUGUUUUAAUGACUCAAAACUCUGGAGAUAAAGGGAAAAACAUAGAUAGAAGCUUUCUAAUGACUCAAAACUCUGGAGAUAAAGGGAUACACAUAGAUAGCAGCUUUCUAAUUGUAAUGAAAGCACUGUGUCAGCCAUCGCCAACAAGAGCUUUUGCUAUGGUCACAUGAUGAAAUGUGGGCCAACACUAUUUAGGGCCAACACAGCAGUGUAUGUGGGUGUAUACAUUGUCAAGCAGGUCAUGACUGAUUUUGUGUGUUAUUGUCAAUGAUUUGUACAGUCUUGUUUUGUAUUCCUUUAAUAAAUGAGAGGUUUUGCCCGUGUAUCCA
rnacentral:lncRNA from 1 species